CCAGAGUAGGUCGAGACACGUGGAACCUUGACUGAAUAUGCGGGGACCACCCCGUAAGGCUAAAUACUCCUUAGUGACCGAUAGCGCAUAGUACUGUGAAGGAAAGGUGAAAAGGACCCCGGGAGGGGAGUGAAAAAGAACCUGAAACCAUAUGUUUACAAGCUGUGGAACCACUUUAAAUGUGGAACCGCGUACUUUUUGUAGAACGGUCCGGCGAGUUACGCUGGCUGGCGAGGUUAAGUCCUUAAGGGAUGGAGCCGAAGGGAAACCAAGUCUGAAUAGGGCGAAGAGUCAGUCGGAGUAGACCCGAAACCGGGUGACCUAUCCAUGUCCAGGAUGAAGUUGCCGUAAAAGGCAAUGGAGGUCCGAACCCACAUCCGUUGAAAAGGGUGGGGAUGAGGUGUGGAUAGGGGAGAAAUUCCAAUCGAACCCGGAGAUAGCUGGUUCUCCUCGAAAUAGCUUUAGGGCUAGCCUCAUACAAGUCUUGCGGAGGUAGAGCACUGAAUUUCCUAGGGGGCGUCAAAGCUUACCGAAGAAUAUCAAACUCCGAAUGCCGCGUAGAUGGUGUAUGGGAGUCAGACUGCACGAGAUAAGUUGGGUAGUCAAAAGGGAAAGAGCCCAGACCUGCAGCUAAGGUCCCAAAAUGUGUGUUAAGUGGAAAAGGAUGUGGGAUUUCGAAGACAACUAGGAUGUUGGCUCAGAAGCAGCCAUACAUUCAAAGAGUGCGUAAUAGCUCACUAGUCGAGAGGUCCUGCGCCGAAAAUGUCCGGGGCUGAAACACACUACCGAAGCUCAGGAAUGUACUUGUACAUUGGUAGAGGAGCAUUGUAUACGGGAAGAAGCAGUACCGAUAAGGAGCUGUGGACUGUAUAGAAGAGAGAAUGCCGGAAUGAGUAGCGAGAGGAAGGUGAGAAUCCUUCCGGCCGAAUAUCUAAGGUUUCCAGAGUAAAGCUGAUCUGCUCUGGGUAAGUCGGGGCCUAAGGCCAGGUCGAAAGACGUAACCGAUGGACAACAGGUUGAAAUUCCUGUACCGCGAUAUAACAGAACUGUGGGGACACGUGUGGAGAGCACAAGCCGGGAAUGGAAAGCCCGGCGCAAGCAAGGUAGGAGUCGUACUGGCAAAUCCGUACGGCAAUCCGAAGAUGUGAUGCGUACCGAAUUAAGAGUAGGGAAGAGUGUGAGCCAUGCGUCAAGAAAAGCCGCUAUUGUUUGUAUCGCGCCCGUACCGUAAACCGACACAGGUGGAUGAGGAGAGAAUCCUAAGGCCGACGGGAGAAGCAUUGUUAAGGAACUCGGCAAAAUGACUCCGUAACUUCGGGAGAAGGAGUGCCACUGAGAGGUGGCCGCAGAGAAUUGGCCCAAGCAACUGUUUAGCAAAAACACAGGUCUAUGCAAAACCGAAAGGUGAAGUAUAUGGGCUGACGCCUGCCCGGUGCUGGAAGGUUAAGGGGAGAGGUUAGCGCAAGCGAAGCUUUGAACUUAAGCCCCAGUAAACGGCGGCCGUAACUAUAACGGUCCUAAGGUAGCGAAAUUCCUUGUCGGGUAAGUUCCGACCCGCACGAAAGGCGUAAUGAUUUGGGCACUGUCUCAACAAUGCACCCGGUGAAAUUGAAAUACCAGUGAAGAUGCUGGUUACCUGCGCCAGGACGGAAAGACCCCAUGGAGCUUUACUCCAGCUUGAUACUGGGAUUCGAUAUUGCAUGUACAGGAUAGGUGGGAGACUAGGAGACGGUAACGCCAGUUGCCGUGGAGUCGAUGUUGGGAUACCACCCUUGCAGUAUUGGGUUUCUAACCAGCAGCCGUGAUCCGGCUGGGGGACAAUGUCAGGUGGGGAGUUUGACUGGGGCGGUCGCCUCCGAAAGGGUAUCGGAGGCGCUCAAAGGUUCCCUCAGAAUGGUUGGAAACCAUUCGAAGAGUGCAAAGGCAGAAGGGAGCUUGACUGCGACACCGACGGGUGGAGCAGGUACGAAAGUAGGACUUAGUGAU
rnacentral:rRNA from 1 species